GGGGCAUCACGAGGUAGCAAUACUUUGGUGGCGACCGGCGCACGGGUGAGUAACGCGUAUGCAACCUUCCUUUUACAGGAGGAUAGCUUCCGGAAACGGAAAUUAAUACUCCAUACAAUUACAAAGUGGCAUCACUUUCAAAUUAAAGCUACGGCGGUAAAAGAUGGGCAUGCGUAACAUUAGCUAGUUGGUGAGGUAAGAGCUCACCAAGGCGACGAUGGAUAGCCGGCCUGAGAGGGUGACCGGCCACACUGGGACUGAGACACGGCCCAGACUCCUACGGGAGGCAGCAGCUAAGAAUCUUCCGCAAUGGGCGAGAGCCUGACGGAGCGACGCCGCGUGGACGAAGAAGGCCGAGAGGUUGUAAAGUCCUUUUCCUGGGGGAGAAUAACGCCCGGAGGGAAUGCCGGGAAGAUGACGUGAACCAGGGAAUAAGCCCCGGCUAAUUACGUGCCAGCAGCCGCGGUAACACGUAAGGGGCAAGCGUUGUUCGGAUUUAUUGGGCGUAAAGGGCGUGUAGGCGGUAGUGCAAGUCUGGUGUGAAAGCCUCCGGCUCAACCGGAGAGGCGCGCCGGAUACUGUGCUACUUGAGUUUAGGAGGGGGAGCUGGAAUUCCUGGUGUAGGGGUGAAAUCUGUAGAUAUCAGGAAGAACACCGGAGGCGAAGGCGAGCUCCUGGCCAUAGACUGACGCUGAGGCGCGAAAGCGUGGGGAGCGAACAGGAUUAGAUACCCUGGUAGUCCACGCUGUAAACGAUGUGCACUAGGUGUUGGGGUGAUGAUCCCCGGUGCCGCAGCCAACGCAUUAAGUGCACCGCCUGGGGAGUAUGCUCGCAGGGUGAACUCAAAGGAAUGACGGGGGCCCGCACAAGCGGUGGAGUAUGUGGUUAAUCAUGCACGCGAGACCUUACUGGCUUGACAUCCCGGAGCCCUUGGAACAGGGGUGCCCUCGGGACCCGUGAGGUGUGCUGG
rnacentral:rRNA from 1 species